CGUGUAUCUAAUUCCUCAAACCCACCCAGGUUCCGGAUUAAGAUGAGUGAUGGCCAGCACUUCCUUUCCUCCUUUCUGCUGGCCACCCAAUUGAACAGACUGGCAGAAGAGAAUCUCCUUGUCCCAAACUGUCUGUGCAAGUUAAAGAGGACCACUAGUAGCACUCUGUCAGAUGGCAGGCUUGUGGUGAUUAUUGUGGACAUGGAUAUCUUGCAGUCGGCAAAGGAAACUGGAGGAA